rnacentral:rRNA from 1 species
CGGGUGAGUAACGCGUGAGAAUCUGCCUUCAGGUUGGGGACAACAGUUGGAAACGGCUGCUAAUACCCAAUGUGCCGGAGGUGAAAGCUUUAGUGCCUGAAGAUGAGCUCGCGUCUGAUUAGCUAGUUGGUGGGGUAAAGGCCUACCAAGGCGACGAUCAGUAGCUGGUCUGAGAGGAUGAUCAGCCACACUGGGACUGAGACACGGCCCAG